UUUGCGACUGUAUCCACAUCACU
rnacentral:miRNA from 1 species